UAAGCUAAGCGAUGUUGUUUGGUUAUGUUGCCCCAGUUUACGGUUACAUGACUGGUCUCACCCACGAUUCAUUAGUUUGCCAUCGCGAGAGAGCCAAUUCGGCUCUCCCAGCCAGGCAAGAAUUUAGCUGCAGUUACGAGCUAACUUGCCUCCAAAAGCAAACAAAUCAUUACUCCACCAAACACAUAUCCUUGCUAGGCAAGGCUAAGACUGUCCUUGCCUUAGAACCAAACACACCCUUAGACUCCGAUUGCCGAAGGAAUCGAGCCAGGGUGGCCCGAGACUCGAUGCUCGAGCACGUCAUCCCCGCCAUCAUUUGUCGCUUACGUGGCACCUACAAACCUUGUCAUCUAGCUUCACAUAGACAUGGGAAGCCCUCUACCGCCAUCGUUGUGUUCAAUCUUCUCCGCUUCCGGUGGAGCACUGCCACACCAUGAUUUCCUUGCCGACGAUGCUCUUCGUCCUUCCCUUGCUUCUCCAACACCCUAGUGCUCCUCUAAAGCUGUCGGCGCCGCACCCUCUAAUCCUCACAUACUCAAGCCUACGCCCCUGCAAGACAGAGCUCCGUUGGCUGCUUUUCCGCUGCUUAGGCCUCCCCUCUAUAGUUGAUUCCUAUCACAGUUGUCGCCGCUUGCCAUUACCUUGCUCUUGGGCUGCAAAGCUCCCCGGCCUCGCACAACACCUCCUCCGUUGUUGCUGUUGUCGCACGCUCCCAAGCCAUCACCCCCGUGUGUUCACUGGAGUUCGAACUACGUUGUGUGGGCUGGCAUGUGGGCAGUCCGCUAUUUGC
rnacentral:lncRNA from 1 species